GUGAAGUUAAUCACAAACAAACAUUUACCCCUUUGUUUGACCGUGAAAAAUUUCUCCCAUCCCCUUUGUUGUCGUUAAGACAUAAAAAAGAAGACCCUUUACAUUGUAUAGGGUCUUUUU
rnacentral:sRNA from 1 species